rnacentral:lncRNA from 1 species
ACCUCCGCCUCCCAGGACCUCUGCCUCCCAGGUUCAAGUGAUUCUCCUGCCUCAGCCUCCCAAGUAGCUGGGACUACAGACAUGCACCACCACAUCCAGCUAAUUUCACACUGUGGUCUCAUCGGAGGAUUUGCCCAACAAAGGGCAGCAUGCAGAUGUAGUACCCUUGAGAUCCAUGUGGUUGGUGUCCCAAGGGAGACUUCU